AUAGAUUCGAUGGUCACUGCCAACCAAUUUAAAUUACUCCUAUUUUCUUAAGCAUAGUAGUCCAAAGCCUGUAGAGGCCAUGCAUCUAGUAGCGUGUCAAGCAAUCAUGGAGCGCCAGCAUGACCAAGUCUUCCAUGCACCUCCUUGGUGGAGUUUAGAGUGGAGUCAUCACUCCUGCUCCUUGAGUUUUGGAAGAGUUUUUUAUGGUCACCGAUCUUCUCAUUAGAGCUUGGAGCUAGCCAGCCUCUCAUUGCCGCC
rnacentral:lncRNA from 1 species